AAGAUAGAAAAUAAUAAUAAUAGAAAAUAAUAAUAAUAAUAAUAAAGGCAGCAUACUGGACGGUGAAUAGAAGUAUUUAACUAUGCAUUUUGAUCGUAUGAUGUCCAUGCAGUAUUAGAGAUAUUCAGAAGAAAACGCUCUUUGCCAGAAAACAUAGCUACAAAGAGACUCGUGUUUUUACAAGACAUCGAAUAACGAACAAGAAAGAGAAAGAAAGGACGUGAAGAUAGUGUAAAGAAAAACGAAAAUCUGUCGGAAGAAAUCAUGGAAAAUAUAAAACUACCCACCAACUCAAAUAACUAAAUUUCGAUUUUGAGCAUUGCGUUGUUUAUCGGAUAUCAAAUGUCGUGAUUUAAAACUAUUAAUAAAGUUCAUGUUCCCCUCGGUGAGAUUUAUUCUAGCGUGGUUGGAUCGAAAUCAAGGGACUUGCAUAAGACAUUUUUUUUUCAUUUUGUGCAAUCCAAUGGGUGCUGUGGAAAUGUUAUAAAACCGUACGUGUUGUGUUAUUGUGGUUUAAAAGAUGGAAUGUAUAUCACAAAAUCAUUAUCAUAUAUCGUGAAAAUGAAUAUAUUGAAGAAUAAAGAAACGCGUGAAAUUAUAUUGUACAACUGUUGUUUUGGUUUUGUGUGAUAUGGAGGAAAAAAAUGAAACACGUGCUUCUUUUUCUUUUUAAAACAGAAUAAAUCUACAAAACAAUGAAUCAGUCGAGUCCA